rnacentral:rRNA from 1 species
AACGAACGCUGGCGGCAGGUCUUAGGCAUGCAAGUCGAACGGGUGUAGUAAUACACCAGUGGCGAACGAGUGAGUAACGCGUGGGAAUCUGCCCAUCUCUGGGGAAUAACGUUUGGAAACGAACGCUAAUACCGCAUACGCCCGCAAGGGGAAAGAUUUAUCGGAGAUGGAUGAGCCCGCGCUGGAUUAGUUAGUUGGUGGGGUAACGGCCUACCAAGGCGAUGAUCCAUAGCUGGUCUGAGAGGACGAUCAGCCACGCUGGAACCGAGAUACGGUCGAGACUCAUACUGGAGGCAGCAGCUAAGAAUAUUGGGCAAUGGAGGAAACUCUGACCCAGCCGUGCCGCGUGAAGGAAGAAGGCCUUCGGGUUGUAAAGUUCUUUUAGUCGUGACGAUGAUGACGGUAGCGACAGAAAAAGCACCGGCUAACUUCGUGCCAGCGCCGCGGUAA